UGAGAUGGCACCCAGGGACAUGUCAAU
rnacentral:misc_RNA from 1 species